GAGACACCCCUGUGGAGCAGAACUUGCUUCAUUGGGGCUUUGGUGCUCACUGAGUCUGCCCCUUGAGUGUGUCCCU
rnacentral:pre_miRNA from 1 species